UUUAGAUUAAAUCACCAUUGGUAGUGCGAUUUAUUGUAAUGCUUUUUCUUCAGUUGGUCAGAACAAACGUGGCAGACUUGUUACUUACUUGUUCAGAUGGAAAUAUACGGUGAAAAUCCUUAUUUGGGCCAUAUAUUCCAAGACAAAGGCUAGAAUCUGUGAGUGCGAAGUACAGUAAACAUCCACACCGGUGUGGUGACUGACAGCUGACUGACACAUACUCUUCAAAACAUCAGAUUCAUCCGCGCUGAAGCUGUGCCGGAGCGCAACCCACGCAAGGAAGAUAAUUCUGCAAGCAGCUGCAAUUCCAGGUUUUCAAACAGAGAUGGCAACAAAGAGGCAACGGACUGCAGCUGAAAUGACCCUGAAAUGUCAACGUCAUAAUGCGUAUUUAAAAAGAAUGGAUAAAAAAGUAGAAUAUAAACACUUCUAAUUUUUAUUCAUUAAACUGAACACCUACGGUGCUGCUUUUUUUUUGUCCUUUCAUGGAAAAGAGCAGCAUGAACAUUUGUCAGGAUUUGUCCUUUUGUGCUCCACCGAAGAAAGAAAGUCAUAUGGAUUAGGAACAACAUGAAGGUAGAUGUUGGCCAAAGACAUCUUGGCGAUCUUGUAGAGACACAGUGAGAGUGAGAUGGCGCAGAGGACGAACAGUGUGUCGUUGAUGGCCACGCGCACCAGCACUACAGUCUCUGUGUCGGCCUUCGUCAUCUUCACCAGCAGAGCACAGGUCAGGUUCACCAGCAGGAAGAUGAUGCUGAUGCCCAGGAAGAGCAGGUGCAAAGGUGUCAAACUCACCUGUGCGAAGUACAGAUUCAUGAGGCUGAGCGUGAAGAACUGCAGGCAGACUGGAAAACAGUAGAGCAGCCAGAAAGCCAAGGGUCCGAGCGUGUUU